rnacentral:tRNA from 1 species
GGGGGUAUAAGCUAAUUGGCAAACUGUGGGUCUCCAAAACCCAUCUUCCAGGUUCGAAUCCUGGUACCCCCG